rnacentral:rRNA from 1 species
UGGGGAAUAUUGGACAAUGGGGGCAACCCUGAUCCAGCGAUGCCGCGUGAGUGAAGAAGGCCUUCGGGUCGUAAAGCUCUUUAGGUUGGGACGAAGUGUGCGGGGGGAAAUACCCGUAUGUUGACGGUACCGACAGAAUAAGCACCGGCAAACUCUGUGCCAGCAGCCGCGGUAAUACAGAGGGUGCGAGCGUUAAUCGGAGUUACUGGGCGUAAAGGGCGCGUAGGCGGUUUAAUGAGUGUGAUGUGAAAGCCCCGGGCUUAACCUGGGAAGUGCAUCGCAAACGAUUGAACUGGAGUUUAGGAGAGGGUGGUGGAAUUUCCGGUGUAGCGGUGAAAUGCGUAGAGAUCGGAAGGAACGUCGAUGGCGAAGGCAGCCACCUGGCCAGAAACUGACGCUGAGGCGCGAAAGCGUGGGGAGCGAACAGGAUUAGAUACCCCCGUAGUCC